rnacentral:rRNA from 1 species
CAGUCGCCGCGGUAAUACGUAGGGUGCGAGCGUUAAUCGGAAUUACUGGGCGUAAAGCGUGCGCAGGCGGUUGUGUAAGACAGGUGUGAAAUCCCCGGGCUUAACCUGGGAACUGCGCUUGUGACUGCACAGCUAGAGUAUGGCAGAGGGGGGUGGAAUUCCACGUGUAGCAGUGAAAUGCGUAGAGAUGUGGAGGAACACCGAUGGCGAAGGCGGCCAUCUGGGACAACACUGACGCUGAGGCACGAAAGCGUGGGGAGCAAACAGGAUUAGAUACCCCUGUAGUCCCUGUCUCUUAUAC